rnacentral:rRNA from 1 species
GAUGAACGCUGGCGGCGUGCCUAAUACAUGCAAGUCGAGCGAACAGAUGAGGAGCUUGCUCCUCUGACGUUAGCGGCGGACGGGUGAGUAACACGUGGAUAACCUACCUAUAAGACUGGGAUAACUUCGGGAAACCGGAGCUAAUACCGGAUAAUAUAUUGAACCGCAUGGUUCAAUAGUGAAAGACGGUUUUGCUGUCACUUAUAGAUGGAUCCGCGCCGCAUUAGCUAGUUGGUAAGGUAACGGCUUACCAAGGCAACGAUGCGUAGCCGACCUGAGAGGGUGAUCGGCCACACUGGAACUGAGACACGGUCCAGACUCCUACGGGAGGCAGCAGUAGGGAAUCUUCCGCAAUGGGCGACAGCCUGACGGAGCAACGCCGCGUGAGUGAUGAAGGUCUUCGGAGCGUAAAACUCUGUUAUUAGGGAAGAACAAAUGUGUAAGUAACUAUGCACGUCUUGACGGUACCUAAUCAGAAAGCCACGGCUAACUACGUG